CGCGGCCUAUCAGCUUGUUGGUGAGGUAAUGGCUCACCAAGGCGACGACGGGUAGCUGUUCUGAGAGGAAGAUCAGCCACACUGGGACUGAGACACGGCCCAGACUCCUACGGGAGGCAGCAGUGGGGAAUCUUGCGCAAUGGGCGAAAGCCUGACGCAGCAACGCCGCGUGCGGGAAGACGGCCUUCGGGUUGUAAACCGCUUUCAGUAGGGACGAAAUUGACGGUACCUGCAGAAGAAGCCCCGGCCAACUACGUGCCAGCAGCCGCGGUAAGACGUAGGGGGCGAGCGUUGUCCGGAAUUAUUGGGCGUAAAGGGCUCCUAGGCGGUUCAGUAAGUCGACUGUGAAAAUCCAAGGCUCAACUUUGGGACGCCAGUCGAUACUGCUGUGACUCGAGUCCGGUAGAGGAGUGUGGAAUAUCUGGUGUAGCGGUGAAAUGCGCAGAUAUCAGAUGGAACACCAACGGCGAAGGCAGCACUCUGGGCCGGUACUGACGCUGAAGAGCGAAAGCAUGGGGAGCAAACAGGAUUAGAUACCCUGGUAGUCCAUGCCGUAAACGUUGGGCACUAGGUGUGGGGUCUUAUCAACGGAUUCCGUGCCGCAGCUAACGCAUUAAGUGCCCCGCCUGGGGAGUACGGA
rnacentral:rRNA from 1 species